GCUCCUGGUGGCGAGUGGCGAACGGGUGAGUAAUGCGUCGGAACGUACCGAGUAAUGGGGGAUAACGCACCGAAAGGUGUGCUAAUACCGCAUACGCCCUGAGGGGGAAAGCAGGGGAUCGUAAGACCUUGCGUUAUUCGAGCGGCCGACGUCUGAUUAGCUAGUUGGUAAGGUAAUGGCUCACCAAGGCGACGAUCAGUAGCGGGUCUGAGAGGAUGAUCCGCCACACUGGAACUGAGACACGGUCCAGACUCCUACGGGAGGCAGCAGUGGGGAAUUUUGGACAAUGGGGGAAACCCUGAUCCAGCCAUUCCGCGUGAGUGAAGAAGGCCUUCGGGUUGUAAAGCUCUUUCAGCUGGAACGAAACGGUACGCUCUAACAUAGUGUGCUAAUGACGGUACCAGCAGAAGAAGCACCGGCUAACUACGUGCCAGCAGCCGCGGUAAUACGUAGGGUGCGAGCGUUAAUCGGAAUUACUGGGCGUAAAGCGUGCGCAGGCGGAUUGUUAAGCAAGACGUGAAAUCCCCGGGCUUAACCUGGGAAUGGCGUUUUGAACUGGCAGUCUAGAGUGUGUCAGAGGGGGGUAGAAUUCCACGUGUAGCAGUGAAAUGCGU
rnacentral:rRNA from 1 species